CUGGUAUUGGAAAAUUCCUUGUCAUCUGCUGACACUGUGAAAUAUACAAGAGCUGGUGGUUGUUUCCUCAGCCCUCAUGACCUGUAGAGAGGUCAAGGUUGCUCUGGGCAUGAUCUGCUAUUUGAUGGUUUGCUACAGAUUAGAACAGAACAAACAUAUGCCAAAAAAAUCCAGAUGUCACACCAGAAAAGUUGCAGCUCUUGUGACCUCAAUACAAAGUGAUGGGAAACCUCAGUGUUGCUUCUAAACAAAAAUUUCAUCCUUGACUAAGAUGUGCCAACUGAGGAACUGAAGCUAUGGUGUGUUUCAUAGUUACCAGUAUCACAUCAUUUGCAGGUCGAAGUCUAUAGCAUCAUCAGCAUAACAAAAGGUUAGUCAGGCCUUUCAUGAACAUAUUAUCGUUUUCAUAUUUCACAAAUUCUCAAGAGAUGUGGGAAAGGCUCACACAAAAUGAGGCAAUUCGGUCACUGAAACUGAAAUACCACUGCAGCUGAGGU